rnacentral:tRNA from 1 species
GAGGGGCGGUUCAACCAGCAAGGACUGCUAAUCCUUGCAUCUGAGUCUAAAACCUCAGCCUCCUUA